ensembl:lncRNA
GUGGAAGCAGUCAGUAUAGUUUUACCAUAAAAUGACAUUUCACUCAUCAAGAUGAAAGAGGUUGAGGAUUAGGCGCGCAGUAUCGAAGUAGGCUAGCUAGCUACUUAAAUGCAUAUGAAAUGUGUGCAGCACCACCCCAUGUCGCCCGGGAAGCGUUUAUGCGCAAGCCCAGAGCAAUCCAAUUAUUGACAUUGAAGCCAGUGAAUCCCAGCUAACCUAAUUCGAGCCAACUCAAUUGUGCCUCUGUGUCCUGGAUAGGUAGCCUCUCCAUCUCAGGUCUUGGGGAUGGGGAUGCGGUUGCAGCUUCAGUGUCUGCAGCUGGACUCCGUACGGAGUGUCCUGGAGGCAGUGAUCCGGAGGAGCUUUGGUCUUGAUGGAGUACAGGAUGGUGGUGGAGUGUGUGAGGAGACACAGCUCGGUGACAGGAGAUGGCUCCCAGACCUUCGUCCUGCUGCUCGCCUCAUUGCAACGGGAGAUACAGAAACACACCCGAAAAGCCCCCUGGGAAGGUGCCAAGUGUUUGGCUGAAGCUCUGCUGGCCUUCGCAUUGGACGAGCUCAGUGAUGUUAUCACUGUUGGAGUGGCUCCACCUGGCUCCUCCCUUUCAGACACACACACCCCAGGACAGACAGAUACACCUACUCAGUGCUUUCCUUCACACCCGGAUCAGCCCUACUCAUGCGGAAAUCUAAGCUAAUAUAGGGAUAGAAAGUGUGUGUGUGUGAUCAGGGCGGGUGUUAGACAGUGUGUGUGUCACCCUACAGCAUCUAGGAGUGUCUCUGCUCCUCUCAUCAGUCAGACAGUCGGAGGCCUUCCUGGCUGCAGUGGGGAGGUACGGUGUGUGUGUGUUAGAGUGUGUGUGAAGACGACCUUACCUUGUUCUCUGUGCUCAGUGGAGCCCAGCCUGUCUCAGACUGGGCCGUGAUUGGACAGGAACAUGUUGCUACGGUGACCUUCUGCCGGCCGCUGGUGCUGGGAGCUCACAGGUUCGUCAAUGUGGGGUUUCCUAAGGCAGAGGACAGGGGCAGACCCCACAGUCUGCUUGUGUGUGGACAGACAGAGGGCCAGGCGGAACAGAGUGUAUGUGCUGUACGAGAUGCUCUACACAUGCUGCAUACUACUACCUGGGGGCCCAAACACAGGACUGGAGCUACAGAAAGAACCGCUUACACACACACAGACACACACACAAACACACACACAGACGUGAUGGAGCCUUGUUGUGUAAUUUCCGUGGGCAGGACUUUUGACUUCCUGUUACACCACACCCUCCAUCAAACACAGACACGCACACUCCGUCAAACACAGACACGCACACUCCGUCAAACACAGACAUGCACACUCCGUCAAACACAGACACGCACACUCCGUCAAACACAGACACGCACACUCCGUCAAACACAGACACGCACACUCCGUCAAACACAGACACGCACACUCCGUCAAACACAGACACGCACACUCCGUCACACUUGGACACCCCUGCCGCCUCGGGGAUGUUAGCAGAGGCCCUACUGAGUGUGCCCAGACAGAUCUACUCCCACAAUCCUCGGCGCUACCUUGAGGCUCUCGCACACACUCUCAGCUGCAUACGUAACCAUGGUAACUCUCCGGACCCGCUGGAGACAGUGCUGUUCUGGUAGUGGAUGGUUCUAAUAUGGUCCAGGCUGACACUAGGUCAAGGUCUGGGUCAGGGGUAAAGGAGAUGACAGUUUGGUCAAGCUCUGGCUCUAGUUCAGGUGUGGAGUCAGUGUCCUGUAUGUAUCAUCUGAUCCUGGCUGUUCUACAGUGUCUCAGGAGUCUAGUGUCUGUGGACACUGUACUACACGCUAAUACCUCACACACCUGUCAGAGAGAAGAGGAGGAGGGUGACGACUGAGAACUCAUACUUGAUUUUAUUUCAUUGUUCAUCCAAAAGUUUUGUAUUCAAUUCUUGAAAAAGUAUCUCCUUGUGUAGUAUGUCUUUGCAUAUGAAUUUCUAUGUUAAUAAAUCCGAUUUGAU